AGACAUCUGGGUCCUUGGAAAUUUAAGAGAAUUGCCUGCCAAUCAGAAACACCCUUUUAUGGACUUCGAGGUUCUUCCAGAGCCAGCUUUUAAGGCGUGUUUACUGAAGACUCAGGUAUGCUGAUUGUUUAUUAAAAGAACUAUUGACCGCAAGUUACACAAAUUAGACUUCCUAAAUAUAGAUAUCUCUUCGAAGCGAAAUUCAUUAGUCUUUUUGUCACAGAAGCAAAAGUGAAUCAUCUUUCUUUGCAGAUUUAAUUUUCAGUUACCCAAAAAUAUAAUAUUUGAGCACUAGAACUAUUCCUGAGUGGUCAGACCUUUUUUUAAAAAUAAUUUUGGAGACUGGGGGCCCAGUGAGUGUGAGAGAAGAUAAAUGGAUCUUUGGCAACCAACGUUAGCCCUUGUGGU
rnacentral:lncRNA from 1 species